GACAGAGGGUGCAAACGUUGUUCGGAAUUACUGGGCGUAAAGCGAGUGUAGGCGGUUUGGAAAGUCGGAUGUGAAAGCCCCGGGCUCAACCCGGGAAGUGCACUCGAUACUCCCAAGCUAGAGUAUCGGAGAGGUUGGUGGAAUUCUCGGUGUAGAGGUGAAAUUCGUAGAUAUUCGCAAGAACACCAGUGGCGAAGGCGGCUUACUGGUCCGGUUCUGACGCUGAGGCGCGAAAGCGUGGGGAGCAAACAGG
rnacentral:rRNA from 1 species